CCCCAUGGUCCAUAAACUGUGAAAAAGCGCAAGCCAGUAAGGGAAAGACCGUAAAUAUGAUUAUAAGUAUGUGCAAUUUCCUCUCCAGCCUUUUUAGUAGCAGCAUACAAACUAGCAGGUUGGUCAGUUCUAUCUUUCUCAGAAAAGGGUACUUUUGUAUUAAGCCCAUAAACAGAACUGGAAGAUGCCCAUACAAUUGCAGGUUGGGGAUUUGCUUCUUUACAAACUUCUAAUAAACUAACAAGACCAGCAAUGUUACUGUGCACAUAAGAGCUAGGGUUUUCCAUUGCAUACCUAACCCCAGCCUGAGCAGCCAAAUGCAU
rnacentral:lncRNA from 1 species